CACAACAGAUGUAGAGAAAUAAUAUUUUUAUGGAUAAUUCAUUUAAACUUUAAGGGUCAUUUGCUCAUUCUUAUAACUUUAACUUGUAAGUUGUACGACCAACCUUUCACAUAACUACGUAGGACUGACCUGAUAAGUGAUACCCGAUCCAAGCCUAAUAACAUAUUAACAUGAUAUGAAUAAGACCAUACUCUACAAAUGGCUAGCCCUACUUGUACCGUUGUGUUCACUACCUUCAUGUCUGCUCUUUUUGACAAAUUCACUACUGAAUCCAGAACCCAAAGUUUCUUCUGUUCUGAUUUGGAUUCAUGUAUGAACUCGUCAUUCUCCAAUUUGGUCACCCAAGUGUCCAACCCUAUAAUGGCAGUGUCCAAAUCUCAACAAAAGUCGAUCCAGUCAAACUCUCUAAUAUUCUUCCUGAAUAUUCUUUCCAUUAAAAUAUUAUCCUCUGAUCUUCAUCGUCAUCUUAUAUUUGAUGACAUCAUAAGUUUCAUGACACAGACAUGGUGAUAAUGUGAUAUUCUCUCUGUUAAGACUUAAGAUUUAAUUGAUAAUGAUUUAAACCUUACGAUAAAAAAAAUUAAUAAUAAGAUGAAUGAAAAAAAUUAAUAAUAAGACUAGAAUCGUUUUCUGUAUGCUUAAAGAAUAAAAUGAAAAAAAGUUGAAGAUAAGACAAUGAUAAGGAAGAAGAAAAAUUAAUGGAAGAAAAAUUUAAGAUAAAUAGAACUCCCAAACACAUGAGAAAGAAAUAAGAGAAGUAGGAGGGAAUGAUGAAAAGACGUAACAUUAAUUUCAAUCAAAAAAAAAAUUCAUCUACUCAAUCAUUAAAAAAAAAUCUUAAUCAUUAACACUAAAUCAAAAUAUCAAAAAAUUAUUAAAUUGGUCAUUAAAAUCCUUUAUGAUUUUUAAUUCCAAAAAUCAAAGUAAUCCCAAAUAUAUCAUGAGGGCUACUAAGAUUUUAUGUAAUCCCAAAUUUCGGAAGAAUAGAUGUGCCAGAAAAUCAACAUUUAAUGCAUAACAUACAUUAGGAAAAAAAACGUGGUAAAAGGUCUGAGAAAAUGAAGGUGAGAAAUGCAUACCUGACCUUCAUCGAUAGUCGACGAUGGCAUACUUUAACUCUAACCCUUUAAUCAGCUUGCCACUACUACUCAACGAACGGACCAAUACAUGAAUCUCUUACUGCAAAAAAUAUCGAUUUAAUGAAAUAGAAUGUAUAAAGAGAUAGAUCCAACAUAGAUGAAAUAGAAUAAGAAUGGAAGAUUUCGUGAUAUGCCGCAACGAUGGUAGAUCGAUCGAUCGGUAUAUGAGCUGAUAGAACCGACUCGCCUCUGAAUGGACGUGAACCAUUGAAUCGUCUUUGAAUGAACGAAAACAACCUUGACUCCACACCGAUGACUACGUCGAUGCAUAAACUUCAUCCUUCUAUCCGGCGAACACCUAACCCUAACACAAUGACGUCCCAUUGCUUUACGCUCCGUGCAGUAAGAUGCGAAAAAGCCCAAAAUAGAACGCCGCAACCCAUUUUACACUCGAUCUCGACUCCAUAUAAAGCAAUUUUUGGGCCGGUCUACCUAAAAUCAGUAAAUU
rnacentral:lncRNA from 1 species